GACGAACGCUGGCGGCAGGCCUAACACAUGCAAGUCGGGCGGAGCGGCGGACGGGUGAGUAAUGCCUAGGAAUCUGCCUGGUAAUCGGGGAUAACGUGCGGAAAAGGGCGCUAAUACCGCAUACUAUCAGAUUAUCCUAGGUCGGAUUAGCUAGUUGGUGGGGUAAAGGCCUACCAAGGCGACGAUCCGUAACUGGUCUGAGAGGAUGAUCAGUCACACUGGAACUGAGACACGGUCCAGACUCCUACGGGAGGCAGCAGUGGGGAAUAUUGGACAAUGGGCGAAAGCCUGACCCAGCAAUGCCGCGUGAGUGAAGAAGGUCUUCGGAUUGUAAAGCACUUUAAGUUGGGAGGCGUUACCUAAAGAAUAAGCACCGGCUAACUCCGUGCCAGCAGCCGCGGUAAUUC
rnacentral:rRNA from 1 species